rnacentral:rRNA from 1 species
UUCGUAGGGCGCAAGCGUUAUCCGGAAUUAUUGGGCGUAAAGAGCUCGUAGGCGGUCUGUUGCGUCGGCUGUGAAAGCCCGGGGCUCAACCCCGGGCCUGCAGCCGAUACGGGCAGACUAGAGUUCGGCAGGGGAGACUGGAAUUCCUGGUGUAGCGGUGAAAUGCGCAGAGAUCAGGAGGAACACCGGUGGCGAAGGCGGGUCUCUGGGCUGAUACUGACGCUGAGGAGCGAAAGCGUGGGGAGCGAACAGG